AAGUUCACUGAACCCAAAAGAAAAAGUAGAAGGUCAGACAAAAAAAAAAAAAAAAACCAUGUCAGAAGAGGAAGUGGUGGUGUUGAACUUCUGGCCAAGCAUGUUCGGAGCAAGAGUCAUCAUGGCGUUAGAGGAGAAAGAGAUCAAGUUCGAGUACAAAGAAGAAGAUGUGUUUGGUCAGAAGACUGAUCUAUUGCUCCAAACCAAUCCGGUCCACAAGAAAAUUCCGGUUCUUAUCCACAAUGGUAAACCGGUUUGCGAGUCCAAUAACAUACUUGAAUACAUCGAUGAGGUCUGGAAAGAUGAUAAAUCUCUCCAGCUACUACCUUCUGAUCCUUAUCAGAAGUCACAGUGUAGAUUUUUGGCUGAUUUAAUCGACAAAAAGGUUUUUGAUGCCGGAAGAAGAACAUGGACAAAGAAGGGUAAAGAACAAGAAGAAGCAAAACGAGAGUUCAUAGAAAUCUUGAAAGUGUUAGAAAGAGAGCUUGGGGAUAAGGUCUACUUCGGUGGAAACGACAACGUUUCGAUGGUGGACUUGGUCCUUAUCUCCUAUUACCCUUGGUUCCAUACGUGGGAGACAAUUGGUGGUUUUAGUGUUGAGGAUCAUACUCCCAAGCUAAUGUGUUGGGUUCGUAAAUGUUUGACCCGACCCGCUAUCUCGAAAUCUUUACCCGACCCGCUUAAGAUCCUUGAUCGAGUCACUCAGAUCAUUAAGCCUCGGUAGAAAUGCACCGAAGUGCUUGAGAGUAGACUUCUCCCCGAAAAGCCACCACACUUUCUAUCCCGAGUUUGGAAUGCUUUCCGACUAAUGCCAGGGGUAGUCAGGCCGCCUGCAUUUCUGACUACCAGGUAAACCAACUGGGCCUUGGCCCAAUUGACAGACUUCCCACACAACCAUGAUUUUUGUUUUCAGGGUGGAUCGAACCUGGUGAGCUAUAAAAUUGAGCAAUAAGAAGAGCGGAAGCAGAGGAGAUUCAAACAGCUAGAAACGCGACGCGACUCGGGCUUUACGGGUUUCUGACUGAUCGUUUCUUUCUCAUUCCUUUUCACAUUUUUGGUUUGCUUCUUUUUCUUCUUCGUCUUCUUCUUCUUCUUUAACUUCUCUAUCAUUUUACUUGCGUAUUCCCAAACAUGACUGAGAGAACAAGAAACAAUACAGAGUAUAUAGUUGGGUCUCUUGUUUCUUUGAAAUGAGUGAAUUGGACAA